rnacentral:rRNA from 1 species
AACGAACGCUGGCGGCAUGCCUAACACAUGCAAGUCGAACGACACCAUCGGGUCUGGUGGCGCACGGGUGCGUCACGCGUGGGAACCUGCCCUUAGGCUCGGGAUAACUCCUCGAAGGGGGUGCUAAUACCGGGUAACGUCUUCGGAUCAAAGAUUUAUCGACUUUGGAUGGGCCGGCGUUGUAUUAGCUUGUUGGUAGGGUAAAAGCCUACCACGGCGACGAUCCAUAGCUGGGCUGAGAGGAAGAGCAGCGACACUGGGACUGAGAUGCGGCCCAGACUACUACGGGAGGCAGGAGUGGGGAAUACAGGACAAUGGGCGAAAGGCUGAACCAGCAAGGCCGCGUGAGUGAUGAAGGUCGUAGGGAUGUAAAGCUCGUUUACCCGGGAUGAUAAUGACAGUACCGGGAGAAUAAGCACCGGCUAACUCCGUG